GUCUUCGUGGAGCAAUGCAGCUCCCUCCCGCAAAAUGGGACUUCAGGAUCUACACGCAGUUGCAAGGGAGAGGUGGUGGUCCGAGUCCACCCGGGGACA